rnacentral:lncRNA from 1 species
GAUAGAGUUUUAGAAAUGGAAUUUUUAGAGCAAAAGAACAGAAGAUUUUAAAAGCUCACAUUGACAAAUUAUUUUACAGAAAGGAUGCCCAAAUUGACAGUUUCACCACCAGCAUGUGAGAGCCAUCAUUUUUAAGUGUUCUCUUAAGUAUGGAGUAUUAGCUUUAAAGAGUCUCUGCUGUGUAGGUAAAAAAGGCAUCUCAAAUUAAAAUGUGUAUUCUUCCUAUCUUAUUCACUAGAUCUCUUUCCUAAUUGUUUAGGUUUUAUAAAUGCCAAUAGAUAUUCCUCACAAAACUGUGCAGAUGGUAUAAACAAAACAGCAUACCUAAAACCUCCUGGAUUUUUGGUACAGAUAUAUUGUAGGUUUAAUACUUUAAAAAUGUGAUACUCUUUUGAAAUAUUAUUAAUGUCAAUAAAGUUUGAUGUUGGAAUUUCUUGGUUUUUUAAAAUUAUAAUUUGUCCUUCAAUGUAUGCCAUAGUUUUUCUAUAUGUCUUUUUAAUUUAAUAGUACUUAAUACAAGUAAUGAGCAUUACACUGAGGUAGGCAGAAUAAUACUCCCCACAGCUCUCCAUGUCCUAAUUCCUGCAACAUGUGCAUAUGUUACUAUAUAUAAGAAAGGGAAAUUGAGACUUCUGAUCUACAGGAAUAUGAUAAUAAAUUGGUGUUGUUUCAAAUCACUAAAUGUGUGGUAAUUCUUACAGCAGCAAUAGCAAACUAAUACAUAGACAGAUGCUUUUUUGUGAUUCAGUAUGGGCCUGGAAUAUUAACAUCUUCCUCAAUUCAUAAAAUUUUUUUCAUUAUCAUUCAAAUUUCAAAUGCUUUUUGCCAAAACAGUAAUUGAUGUAUUUACUGCAAUUAGGUUUUACAAUUAGAUUUUUUUUCUCAACUGACCUUAAUAAUAUAAAACAGAUGUUUACUUAUUAAUGACUUUACAUUUUUAAUGCACAUUACUUGUGAUAUUCAUUUUAUGUACUAAUCAAAAUCCAUUACUUUUAUUACUUCAGUUGCCUUUGUAGGAUUGGCUCACAGCCUUUAUUUUAAUUCCUCAACAUUUUUACUGGAUAAAAUUGAAAUAUAGGAUAACACUCAUAUUUUUCUCCUCCAGUGAAUCAGCCCAAAUUAUUUUUCACAUGAAUAUUUCUGUUAAAAGGUCUGUGGUAUUUGGACCUCUUCAUGGUCUGAAUUUCUUUAAAAGUCUGUGCUAGUAGAUUUAUUUAUUCAGUAAACAUUUAUUGAGCGAUGUAAUAUGCCAAGUUUUUUGUAAAAUGUUGAUUAUGUAGGUAUUCUAUUCAUUCCUCUCCUUUUAAGGAGGUCACAGUUUUUUCAAGACUAUGUGCAAGAGUAGGAUAAUGGCAGGCUAGACUUAUCAUCAAUUUGCAAAAAACAAAAAUAAAAACACACACACAUAGGGAGCCCAUUAUCUUUCCCCUGAAUGACUAUAAAGUUUUAUCUGAUCUGCCAACUUCCUCCCUGGUCCCACUUAAUCUAUUCCUGAAACAGAAAUCAGGGUAGUUCAUUUAAACAUAAGUCAAAUCAUGACAUUCCUCUGCUCAAAUGCCCCCAGUGGCUUUUCAACUCACUAACAGUAAGUGCUGGUGUCCUCAGGCUGACAAGGUGAAAGGCCCCACAUGCCUGCCUAUCUCUCAUCACUACACUGCUUCUGCUCACCCAGCUCCAGGCAUAUGGACAGCUUUUCUAGUUUUGAACAUGUAUGAACACAUUCGAACAUGUUCCCACCUCAGAUUUUCUGUCUUGCUGUUCUCUCAGUCUGGAGCGCUCUCCUCUGGACACACACUGGUUUGUUCCCUUACUUCUUUGGGAUGGGUGCUUAAAUAUCUUUGUAUCAUUAAUGUUUUCCAUGAGCAUCCUCUUUAUCAGCAAGGACCCUACUGGUUGGUCAGGAUGUCAUGUCUGAAGUCUCCCUACUCUGGUUUUUUUUUUUUUUUUUUUUUUUUUUUUUUUUUUUUUUUAAGCAUGUGUGUUUUACUAUUCCCUAUGGCAUAAUAUGGCUUUAUCUAUUCUCUUUCUCCCUCCAUUAGGAGGUAAGCGCCAGGAGGGAUUUUAAUUAAAGUGAUCACUGCUGUGUUUCCCUGUGUGGAAUAGUUCUUAGCACAUAGUAAGUGCUCAAAUGUUUACCGAAUGAAUUUUUAAAGGAAGGAACUCUGAUUCAUCUCAGGAUGUCAAAAGGAUUUUCCUUUUAAAGUUAUCUGUAAAACUGGUUUUGGAGAAUGAGAGUGACUCUGAAGGAGGAAGAAAGGGUAUUCCAAGCAUAGGAAAAGGCAGACAACAGGGCAAGGAGCCACUAGAUUUCCACCAGUGUUAAAAGUAUAAUUAUCUUCUAUAGUAAUUAGUAUCUAAAUGGAUUAAAGUUAUAUCAGGGAUACUGAGCCUGGCCUCCAAAAGAACUUGUAAAUUAUUUCAUGUGCAUGUCUUAUCUUCACAACUUAGAAAGGAAAAUUCUUUCCAUUACCAGUGGAAAGAAGGAGAACAUGGAAUAUGAAUAGACCGCAGCCUAUCCAAGACAUUGGAGAUACAAUGGUACUUAUAGAAUGAAUGAAAGCACUAAACAUGGACAUGCAUGUUCCUAGUAUUGUGAUUUUGGUACAUUAGAACCUUAGAGGGAUGAGGACUAUAACUCGGGAAAAGCUUUCCUAUUGUCUGGGCAAAAUACUUGUUUAGGUUCUGGCUCAGUGUUACUGUUUUCAAAUUUCAGAAGAAAUUUUGGCAACAGUUCUUUCUGCUUUAGGCUGACUUUCCUUAUAAAUUUCAUCGACAUUCAAAUGUAGAGAACAGUAGAAUAUGUCAGCAACUCUUACAGUAGAUAAAGGAGAGGGAACCUUUGAAAAGCAGUCACUCCAGACUAGUAAUAGGCACAAUAUUAGAUACAUAGAAUCAUAAAAACAUAGUAUGGCAUGAUCAUUUCCUUAUAAUUAAAUGAGAGGAGUAAAAUGAACCAUAAUUGAAUCAAACCAGCACAUAUUGUGGGUAUACCAAAUUCAAGCACAUAGAU